UGGGGAAUAUUGCACAAUGGGGGGAAACCCGUGAUGCAGCAACGCCGCGUGAAGGAAGACGGUUUUCGGAUUGUAAACUUCUGUUCUUAGUGAAGAAGAAUGACGGUAGCUAAGGAGCAAGCCACGGCUAACUACGUGCC
rnacentral:rRNA from 1 species